rnacentral:rRNA from 1 species
UACGUAGGGGGCGAGCGUUGUCCGGAUUUAUUGGGCGUAAAGAGCUCGUAGGCGGUUUGGUAAGUUGGAUGUGAGAUCUCCAGGCUCAACUUGGAGGGGUCAUUCGAUACUGCCAUGACUAGAGUUCGGUAGGGGAGUGUGGAAUUCCUGGUGGAGCGGUGAAAUGCGCAGAUAUCAGGAGGAACACCGGUGGCGAAGGCGGGACUCUGGGCCGAUACUGACGCUGAGGAGCGAAAGCGUGGGGAGCAAACAGG